rnacentral:rRNA from 1 species
UACGGAGGGGGCUAGCGUUGUUCGGAAUUACUGGGCGUAAAGCGCACGUAGGCGGCUUUGUAAGUUAGAGGUGAAAGCCCGGGGCUCAACUCCGGAAUUGCCUUUAAGACUGCAUCGCUAGAAUUGUGGAGAGGUAAGUGGAAUUCCGAGUGUAGAGGUGAAAUUCGUAGAUAUUCGGAAGAACACCAGUGGCGAAGGCGACUUACUGGUCACAUAUUGACGCUGAGGUGCGAAAGCGUGGGGAGCAAACAGG